rnacentral:rRNA from 1 species
GACGAACGCUGGCGGCGUGCUUAACACAUGCAAGUCGAACGGAAAGGCCCUGCUUGCAGGGUACUCGAGUGGCGAACGGGUGAGUAACACGUGGGUGAUCUGCCCUGCACUUCGGGAUAAGCUUGGGAAACUGGGUCUAAUACCGGAUAGGAGCCAUCUUUAGUGUGGUGGUUGGAAAGUUUUUUCGGUGUAGGAUGAGCUCGCGGCCUAUCAGCUUGUUGGUGGGGUAAUGGCCUACCAAGGCGGCGACGGGUAGCCGGCCUGAGAGGGUGUACGGCCACAUUGGGACUGAGAUACGGCCCAGACUCCUACGGGAGGCAGCAGUGGGGAAUAUUGCACAAUGGGCGCAAGCCUGAUGCAGCGACGCCGCGUGGGGGAUGAAGGCCUUCGGGCUGUAAACUCCUUUCGCUAGGGACGAAGCUUUUUUGUGACGGUACCUAGAUAAGAAGCACCGGCUAACUACGUG